rnacentral:lncRNA from 1 species
UGUGAAGUUCGGCCGGUGAACCUGUGCAGUCCGACGGUGCUUGCAUGCUUGUAUCCGGUAGCAUACAUUGCGGAUGUAUCAAAAGGCAAGCACCGAUCUCUUUCGUUACUAAACAAUAGUGUGUGCUAUUUGAUGAAAUGGAUUCACAAUGAAGUGGGCAAAAUUUCUCGUGUUUAAGUUGAGUCAUUGUGGCCUUAAUCAUCUUGUGCGAGUAGAAAAAAUUUGGUUGCUUCACAUGUGCCUGUGCGGCUCUGUUGGUGGUUUUCUGCCUGAGGUUGAAGAUGACAGCCAACCUGGACUGCCAGCCCACGCGCGGAUUAGGCGCUGCCUGCAGCUGCAGGAGAGGUUGGCCUACAGUUGGAGGAGGCCCUGGCCUUCAGCUGGCAAUUUAGAGGAACUUGCCACUAUGAAAAUCUGAAAAUCUAACUUGACACCAUACUUGUUUUUGUUCUUCAGAAGUUCAGGUAGCUAGCUUGCUCACUAUGAAAACCUUCUCUGUAUGUGCUAAUUAGUACGUACUACUAAGCAAAAAUAAUCUUGUGAAGUGGAUGACGCUGGCCAUGGGAGAUUUUGAUGGCACUAUAGUGAUGACAACCUCCAGCAGUUCGCAUAUACCCCAGGCCGCAGCCCAGCUUCUCCGUCAUUAGCGUGACAUGCAACACCACACCACUACAGACACUUCCCUGAAUUUACCAAUGAUUGCUUUAUUGCUCAUGCGAGACACCGCCGGGGGAGUUUAUGGGUGUUGUCACUGGGACGAUAUGGAGAAUGGAGGCAUCCAGAACAUGACCUAGUGGAUAGACUGGAGGAGCAAUCAGACACGCCCAUGGCAUUUGGACGUAGACGAUGGUAGCUCGGCAGCGCUGUGGCCUGCUGCUGCUGGGUGAGUUCGUGUCCUAGCGAUGUGUGUAUGUGCUAAUGGUGUGAGUUCGUGUUGUAUAUCUGUGCACACGAACAGGAAAUGUUUCAGAUCUUGUAGCCUGCUCAUGUGCACUACAAGUGUUUGUGUUUAUGCCCCAAGGAAGAAAACAUGUUAUUUUUAACCGAGAACAUAAUUUAAAAUACAAACUUGGGCAACCAAGCUAUCUAUGUUUUUCUAUCACAAAAUAAAUCACGCCAAAGCAGAUUCAAAACUUCAUAUAUGGAUUACAAAAUAUUUUGCAUGGGGUUCCAGUUUGCUUGUUUGUUGAUUCAAAACUUCAUGAAGUUCGAUGUCUAUAAAAAAGGAUUUUGAGCAAAGAAUGAUUUCCCCUAUUCAAAAAAAUAUAGAAGUUCAGAUUAAAAUAACAGUGUAGUUUAACAUUAAAAAAACUAGAAUUUCGCUUUCAAAAAAAUCAAAUCCUAGAAGUUCAAUUUAGAAAAAAUGAUCAUUUGAUUUUCAUCGUUUCAAAAAAACCCCAAGAGGUUUAGUUUAAGGAACCUAAGAAGUGCGAACUUAAAAACUCAAAAUUUCCUUGGAGCUAAACAAAUAAAAAAUGAGAACUUCAAAAUAAAAAAACAGAGUAGUUCGAUGUAUACGGAAAAAUCAAAUUAUUUUUGUUUCGAGGAAAAAUAGAAGUAUGAAAGUUCAAUUUUAAAAAAAUUGUUUAAUGCUUAUUUGAAAACAUAUUUUUUCUAAGAAUAAGACUAAGAAGUUCAAAUUAAAAAAACAGAGAAGUUCGACAUAUAUAAAAAGCUCAGAUUUUUUCUUGUUACUAAAGAAAUAAAAUGAAGAACAUCAAAUUAAAAUAAAUGGAACAACUAAAAAAAGUUUACAAAGUGUUGAUGUUUAUUAAAAAAUCUAGGAUUUUCACAAAUAUCCGUUUUUGUUAAAUUAUCAACGAUGAAGUUCAAAUUGAGAAGUUAGUCAAAUUUGAUGUUUAUUUAAAAACCAAAAACAAUUCUUUAGUCAAAAUAUAGAAAGGUGAAAUUCAAAUUGAAAUAACAGGGAAGUUCGGAGUUUAUUAAAACCUAGGAUUUACCUGUUCCGAAAAUAAAAAACACAACGCCAUUUUUUGCACUUUUAGAAACAACUCAUAAACGGAAAAAAUGGUUGCUAAAAGUUCAAGUGCUCGGCGAGCAAAAGUUCAAAAAAUUCUUGUGAGAGAGGUUCCCCGUGUAUUUAGAUGUCCGAAAUACAUCAAAAAAUAUGUUGUCUUUUGUGUUUUAAAAUAAUUCUCUCAAACUAGAGAAAAUUUCAAAGUGAUAACAACUGGAAGUUCACGUACUACAUGGUGUGUGUUUCAUAUAAGAAAAAUACAAUAAAGUGGAACAGAGUGAAGUUCAAACAGACAUGCUCUAGAAGUUCAACUCCUUCACGCAGUGCAAAAAACAGCACGUCAAAAACAGAGUGAAGCUCAAACAGACAUGCCCGAGAAGUUCAACUACUUCACGCAGUGCAUUUCCAUUCGCGAUGAAGGCAGAAAUCAUGAUUUCCUCAUUUUCUAAUUUAUUUCAAAAUGGCAGGAAGUGAAAGUUCAAGUCCUCGGUCAAAUAAAGUUAAAAAAAUAUUGUGAGAUAGGUUUGUACAAAAAGAAUAUCAUUUGUGUAACACUAACGAAUGGAUGAGAAAAUUACAAACGAAAAUACGUCACAGAAGAUCAACAUGAAAACAGCAGGAAGUUCAACUACUAUGCUGAAUGAAUUUCAGACGAAAAACUUUUAAAAUCAUCGCGAGUAUGAAAAAAUGAUCAACACGGGAAAAUUGCGUGUUUACAGUAGCUUUCCAUCGGUAUAUCAGUUGCUCAAUUAUGGUGAGUGGAUGGAGAGCUACCAGCAGUGGAUGGAGAGCUACGAGCAAAAAAAGCACGUGAAAAACAGAGUGAAGUUCAGGUAGACAUGCCGAGAAGUUCAAGUUCUUCACGCGGUGCAUUUUCAGAGAAUCUGUUUCAUGACAAAGGCAGAACGAAUGAUCUCACUUGUUUUCGAAAUUACUUGAAAACGACUAGGAUUCAGAGAAAACCAUCAACAUGAAAAAGUUUUGCAUUUUCCGUACCUUUUUAGCGGUAUAUUAUUUGCCCCUUUCCGAUAAAUGUUGUAAAAAUUACAACAAAAACACGUUUUUAGCCAUUUUCAAAACUGACAUAAAAUUGUAGAUAAUUGGGAGAAAAAAUAUAUACACGAAAGUUUCGCAUUUGUUCAGGCUUUCCAACGGCGUAUCAUUUGCUGCAUUCGGACUUACGGUUAAAAAAUUAGCUCGAAAAUACGAACUCGGUGAAAUUUGUACUAUUUUCUAAAUUACUUUUAAACCGUUCGAAAUUACAAAAAACUUUCAACAUGGAAAAGUAGCGCAUUUUCAUAAUCUUUCUAACGCCAUAUCAUUUGCCUCAAUUGGAUUAGCCGUUUCGAAAUGACAUCGAAAAUACAAACUCGGCUGUUCGGUUUAUGAAAUUUUAUGUUUUCCCAAAUUACUUUUUAACCAUAUGGAAUUAGAGAAAAUUUUCAACAUGUGGAAUGAGCGGUUUUACAGCAGCUUUCCAACGCCAUAUUAUUUGCCUGAUUCCGAUGAAUGGUUUUGAAAUGCGAUCAAAAAUACGAUUCACAUUUUUUGUAUGAAGAACAAACGGUUUUCAAAACUGCUCUUAACCCGCUUACAUUUUGCCAAAAAUUUAACUUGGGUCAUGAUACUGGUGUCCAUAGCUUUCCAAUGGUAUAUCGCAAGCCCCAUUUGGGCAAUGUUGGCGGAAGUUCAACCUAGUACUAGGAGAAGUUCAGGUCGAACAACUCAGUCAGUAAAAUUGCAAAAAACACAAUUUCAUCACAACCCGAGAGCAAAAUCCGCCAACGAGCGAUAUUCCUAUUUAAAACCGGUAUUUAGUUGCUAAAAAACGUUUCUAGAUUACACUAACAUCAUAUAGAACACGUCUAACAAGAAUAAUUCGCGGGGGAAGCCACGGUUGCGAAGAUAGCCCGAAGGUCGGGUUCGUACAGAGGGAAGUUCAGGCGCGUUACUCAGGUGUUGGAAAUAUGCCCCAGAGGCAAUAAUAAAAGAAUUAUUAUUAUAUUUCCUUGUUCAUGAUAAUUGUCUUUAUUCAUGCUAUAAUUGUGUUAUUCGAAAAUCCUAAUACAUGUGUGAAUAACAGACACCAACAUGUCCCUAGUAAGCCUCUAGUUGACUAGCUCGUUGAUCAACAGAUAGUCAUGGUUUCCUGACUAUGGACAUUGGAUGUCAUUGAUAACGAGAUCACAUCAUUAGGAGAAUGAUGUGAUGGACAAGACCCAAUCCUAAACAUAGCACAAGAUCGUAUAGUUCGUUUGCAAAACUGUAAUGCUCGACAAGCAGAAAAAAUUACUUUUCCGGAAUCAUCCCUCAAGACCAUCCCUCAAGAUUAUUUUUCCGGACUCUAACCAUAUAUUUUUCGGCAUAUUAUACAUAUUUUGUUAGUCCAAUCAAAGAUCUGAACCCCCAAUAUCAUAAACCCAGCCGGAAGUAUAUACUUAUUAGCGUCCCUCUUUGGAACCGGUAAUAAUUGAGUUCCUCCAACCAGUUUGAGAUUCGGGCGCGUUUCUUUGGGUCUCGGGUGCCGAUACAUCCGAACUGAGAAAAAUAAUUUAGAAAUUGCAAAAAAAGUGAAAAAAAAUCAUGAUUUCCUUAGAACAGACAUGAUAUUGUGUUACACUCAUGUGAAAAGAUACACGAAUGAAUGACUUUCGUGUACUCUGGGCGACAGAAACCAAAAUCGACACUAUAUAAAAGUUACUAUUUACGCUUUUAUACUCACAAAUUUCUCUUUUGCCCUAAAGUCAUUCUUUCGCGAAACUUUCUAUACGAAUAUAACAAUAUAUCAAGUAUGUUUUCAAAAUGUUCUACAAUUUUGUGACCUUUUUUUGCAAUUUCUAAAUUAUUUUUUCAGUAAUGUGUUUGCCAGUUCUUAGAAUAUCGCUCAUAACAUAAAUUUUUGUGACCCGAUCAUCCUUCGUUCACCCCGUUUUAUGUAUGUUUCCCCUACGUCUACUAGUUUAUAAUUUUUUCCUCCCACAUCUGGUGUUUUUCCACCCGUUUUGAUAACCGGCUCAACAGCCCCAUAAAAUCUUGUUUUUUUGCAAGCAAUCACAUUAAUAAUAACAUGCCAGGUAAAUAACUGACUAACCUAUUAGAAUAUUUAUGCCCUCAUUGCAACGCAUGGGCAAUUAUCUAGUGUGACAAUAAAAAAAGGAGAGAAUAUAAUGUCACGAAAACGUAGUAAGAAGUACCACAAACAAGGGAGAGGAGAAGAUAAUUGAAGGACAAACUACUAGUUGGCACUUUGUACACUAUAAAAUUAUCCAUUUAGUUGCACCUAAAGUAGAUAGUCUUGUACAAUCUAGAAAAUUUGUCAAGGUAUAUCCUAGAUUCAUACACUAUUUUUUUAUCAGUUUCCAGAUAUUUAUAAUGGUAAUAUAUUAAUAUCGAAAUGAUACUCGGUACAUUCAUCAUCCAAACGACACAUAUAGAGAGUUAGUCAAGACAUCAAGGAUGCAUAUGCUAUAGAAACGCAAAAAAAUCUGACAUGAGUAAAAGGGCUUUGUAACGAUAAUAUUGGAUAGUAAAAAAAUAUGUAUCUAAAUAAACAUUGGCAUGUUCUAUCUUUUAUAUCAAAAUAAUUUAUCAAUAUUUUUUUAAUUUAACCACAAGAUGAUUUACGACUAAAUAAAGAAGUUCAAUAUAAAAUAGGUGAUAAUUCUAUGCACCAAACAUAUUGACCAUAUUUGAGCAUAAUAUUUCAAAAGGAUGUUUUAUGCGCUUUUUAGGUUGCUCUUCCUUAUGAGUUUAAUUAUGAUUUUUAUUUGACAAUAGACCCACAAAAUUUAGUAAAGUAUCAAAGGGGAGCAAUUAAGUAAGGGCAAGGGGCAGUGCUGGGUUUAAUAUCAAAACUGGUAAAAUAUUAACAUGUUUAGGAAUUAGGAAUAAUUACAUUAUGUCUUCGUUGGGUCCAAUAAAUAAGGUCAAAAAAAUAAAAAAACAGAGAUAAAUAAUCUUGAGCAGACAUUAGUGGUACGGAAAAUAACAUAUCAUGGUAUACCUUCAGGGUCAACUUCUUCUCAUAUAUUAGAUUGCAACAGAAGUUGCAAAAUCCUCAUUUCCUUUAAAAACAGCAAGAAGUAUACUGUCUAGCUGCAAAAACAACACAACAGAUGAUUUUUUUAUCAAAUAGCAAUAGUCACAUUGUGUUUCUGUUGGGUCCAGUGAAUUAUAAAACACAAACAUCAAUCAUUGCUAUUCAAGACAAGUGAUACAAUAAGGCCAAACUCGUUGGAAACAGUCAAGUAACAAAGAUGGAGGUGGACAGAUAAACACCCUAUCUAGUAGACCGGCACUAGAAAAUCAAUAGCAGUUUUAAUAAUGUUCAUUUACAUUUUCAAUGAAUACUUGAACCAUGCUUUCAAUCUCUUGAGCAGUACUGUCCAACUGACCAUCUAAGAAGCACAAACUGACUACCAACUUAAUAAAUAGACAUAUAAAAUGAACGGUAGCUCAUAAUGUAUAGUCACUUACCAACAGCAAGUUUACUAAGCCCAGGAAGAUCAAUAAGAGUCAGGUUCACAACUGCAAUGAUUAAAAGCGUUACGAUGCGACAAAAAUGAAAAGAACAAACAAUAUAGGAAAAUACAUAACAAGGGACAGAUACAGUAUGGCUAUCCUACCAAUGACAGAAAUAGUCCGUAAUAAACUUAUAAGCUUCUAAGGUAAAUCAGAACACCCUUUGCAAGCAACAUUUUUUGAUAUCUAAUAAUGGAGGUACAUAAGACAGUUUGGUAUUGAGAGAGCAUUAAAGUAACACCAUUAAAAUAGUUGGCAACAUUGCUGUCUGCAUAUCUUACCAUCUGAAGAAAAUAUGCUUAAAUGUAUGGGGACAGCUGAUAUUUGCUUUGAACAACCGGCUAUCUCCGUCUUCACUUCAGCUGCAACGAUAGAGAUGUCACCAUGAGCCGAGUAUCAUCACGAUAAACUAGAAUAAAUGAAUAAAAAAUAGUGCUUGACAGAAUUUCAGGGAAAUAGAUUUGUGGAAUUACCAAAACACGUGUAUUUUUUACUUUGCUCAUCAUGUAAAAACCCAGCAUACUCUCUAAUUCCAUCAAUUUUACGAAGCUGCACUAUCAGGGGAGGCGCGUGACAAUGCCCUUGGGUAGGAAAUCUUUUCCAACAAGGCACUCCAGCACUAAAGAUUUGUCGGCACCCUUCCAUAUAAUCAGAAGUUUCAAAUGUUAGGACAAAUACUAGGUACUCAAAAAACAGACAAAAUUGUGUGGUUCUUUUAGGCAAUCACACCCUCACACUAACCCAAUAUCUCUACGGGGAACUAAACUGAACUAACAGAUUCAAACAAACAAUUAACAACCAGCAUAGCAUUUCAUGCCUCUAGUUGAUCCUAAAUACCAGAUCCAGAUGCAACAAUAGAUCUCUAGGAUCUCUAGGCGCGAGAUUUAGAUGCAACGACAAUUCCCCUAGGCGAGAUCCAAGCAUAUAACCGCGCGUCUCCGGAACUAAACUGUAUUGGUUCUCAGUCAGGAUCACACGAUGACAACGAUGAACGCACACACGCGAGAGAGUCACACGUGAAUACAUAGGAACGGGAGUGUUUUUGCGACGCUCUGAUUCAGUGUCUUUUCUGUUUCUUUCCUUUAUUCGUUUGGAAACAGACUAAGAGCAUCUCUAGCAGACCUGUAUAAUGCCUCGACCCAUAAAAUAACCACCAAAAUACGGGUCCGUGCAGAAAAUGUUGCCCGAUCAGACCCCGCAAACGCGUCGGACCCGUAAAAAGUUUUGAAGGGUGCGGCAUAAUUGUUGGGGAACGUAGUAAUUUCAAAAAAAAUCCUACACACACGCAAGAUCAUGGUGAUGCAUAGCAACGAGAUGGGAGAGUGUUGUCCACAUACCCUCAUAGAUCGAAAGCGGAAGCGUUAGAACAACACGGUUGAUGUAGUCGUACGUCUUCACGAUCAGACCGAUCCAAGUACCAAACGUACAGCACCCCCGAGUUCAGCACACGUUCAGCUCGAUGACGUCCCACGAACUCCGAUCCAGCAGAGCUUCGAGGGAGAGUUCCGUUAGCACGACGGUGUGAUGACGAUGAUGAUGAUGAUGUUACCGACGCAGGGCUUCGCCUAAGCACCACUAUGAUAUGACCGACGUGGAUUAUGGUGGAGGGGGCCACCGCACACGGCUAAAAGAUCAAUGAUCAAUUGUUGUGUCUAUGGGGUGCCCCCCUGCCCCCGUAUAUAAAGGAGCUAGGGGGGAGGCGGCCGACCAGGAGGAGGGCGCGCCAAGGGGGAAGUCCUACUCCCAUCGAGAGUAGGACUCCUCUUUUCCUAGUAGGAGUAGGAGAAGGGAAGGAAGGAAGGGAGAGAGAAAGAGAAGGAAAAAUGGGGGCGCCACCUCCCCUCCUUGUCCAAUUCGGAGUAGAGGGGGAGGGGGCCAGCGGCUGCCCUGGCCGCCCCUCCUCUUCUCCCACUAGGGCCCAUGAGGCCCAAUUAACUCCCCGGGGGUUUUUGAUAACCCCCUGGUACUCCGGUAUAUGCCCGAAACCUCCCGGAACCCUUUCGGUGUCCGAACAUAGUCGUUCAAUAUAUCGAUCUUUACGUCUCGACCAUUUCGAGACUCCUCGUCAUGUCCGUGAUCACAUCCGGGACUCCGAACUACCUUCGGUACAUCAAAACAUAAAAACUUGUAAUAUCGAUCGUCACAGAACUUUAAGCGUGCGGACCCUACGGGUUCGAGAACUAUGUAGACAUGACCGAGACACGUCUCCGGUCAAUAACCAAUAGCGGAACCUGGAUGCUCAUAUUGGUUCCUACAUAUUCUACGAAGAUCUUUAUCAGUCAAACCGCAUAACAACAUACGUUGUUCCCUUUGUCAUCGGUAUGUUGCUUGCCCGAGAUUCGAUCGUCGGUAUCUCAAUACCUAGUUCAAUCUCGUUACCGGCAAGUCUCUUUACUCAUUCCGUAAUGUAUCAUCCCGAAACUAACUCAUUAGUUACAAUGCUUGCAAGGCUUAUAGUGACACUACUAGGGAAAAGGCUAGCAGCAGCGCAGGUUUUAGGUGUAUCAGUAACGCGGGGAGUGGCGCUACUAAUAAGUCACUACAGCUAACACAUAGCAGUAGCGCGUGCUCACCAGCGCUACUGCUACACAAGUGUAGCAGCAACGCGCUUAGUGGAAGCUCGCUACUGCUAGUAGCUCUAGCGCGCUUUGCCUGGAUGCGCUACUACUAUCGCGGCGCUGCUACUAACUUUUAUACACUCGUUACUGCUAAUUUUAGUAGUUUUUUAUUUAUUUUUCGGCAUAUUUGUUUUGUAUUUGAACAGGCUUUAUAGAAGAAUCUUUAGCACAUACAAAUGUCAUCAUGAUACACAUACAAAUGCCUGCGAGACCACAAAUGUAAUCAUAGCAUAUACAUACAAAUAGUCGCAUGAUAAUCAUCAUCCAACACAAAGUGGUAUCUUGUCAUCAUCUCGAAAAUAGCAAUACAUGCAAGUCUCGAAUACUUGCAACUACAACAACAUCAUCCAUCUAAAUAAAGGUAUACGCGAGAAGAGCUAUUACUAUGAGUGAGAGCGGAACUAUGCAGUACAUGAGGUGGCGGUUACGAGUCCUCUCUCACGCUAGCAUGAACCUCAAGUAACUAGCUUCUCCUUCUUGUCUGCUUUUGAAGCCUUUAUGGCUGGCGCCCGUGAACCCAUUCACUUGCGCCUGACACUCAUGCCACUCGUUGUACACCCUCGGAACCUUCCCUUUGUACACGACAUAGCAAUUCCAUCUCGCCAUCAAGAAACUAGGUACCUGUUAGAGAUGCAUGUUCAUGAAGAGGAUGUACAAUCAUAUAUAUGCAACAAAAUAUACUAGAGCAACACCGAAAAAUAAAGGGUUAGCAACUAGAUGCAACAUACAAUACGUAAAUUAAUGAACUAGAGGUACGCAGGUCAUCGUACGCAAACUAACAAAGUAGCGUUACGCAAGUUUGGCAGGGACCAUGGACAUCACAAAGUUUCAUCGCUACAAAAAGUAUACAAGUUCAACCGACACAUAUCAUCAUCAUCGGCAUCAUAAAUCACUAGAAGUUCCAUCCUUCCAUAUCAUCGAGGAUGGACCCUAGAUUCUUGGCCGGCGUGAGAUCUAGACGUUGCAUGCCUAUGCGAGUUCGGACGUCAGCUCGCAAUAUAGGGCCGUGGUGGAACAUCCCCUUCUCAUCGAAGACUUCUUUCAUGAUGAUCAUCGCAAUGUCGCUUUGGAUGCGAAAUAAGUCAUCUCUAAGUUUAUAAUCCGCUUCUCCAUGAGAUUCUAGCCACUUGUGGAUAUGAUCAUCAUUUCUGCUUCUCAUGUGAAGCUUUUGGUGAUCCGUGUUGAACUGAAUCAUGAGAUGGACGAUGUAGAAUCCAUCCUUCUUGCUUGGUUUUGGGACAUGGAUGCAGGAGAAGUUAGUUUUAUGCGCGAAACCCAUCUUCUUGUUCCUUUGUUUCCUGAUCUGCACGUGGCCACCUCUAAAGCUGAAGCCUUGGAGAGCAUCAUCUAGAAUAUUCAUUAUGUGGGUGUAGUCUUUUUUCUUGUAGUCUCUGGAAGGGUCAAAAUACACGGCGUGGGAGACUUGCGCGUAAAGAACGAUAUGGACGGCGCGCCCGUUGCUGCGGGGAAAGACACCUCAAAUUAUUCCCCAUAUGAGAGAGAAGGAAUGAUUGAAAUGUACGAAAGGGUUGUCCGGAACUGACUUACUUUGGAUGAUAAGGCACGAGGACAAUUUCCCGGUCCUUAUUCUGUACCAUGAAGUUUUGGAGCUACUCCCUAGCAGUUUCACGCUCAAAGUCGCCAAGACUCAAGAAAGACUCGUGCAUGUAGUACGGAUCCGCCACACAGAUUUGUGAGACUUCUUCACUCUUCAUGACGGAGCUCAUAUGUAGCGCAAAAAGGCGGACGAUUGUAAAAUCGAGCCGCCUUGUUAGAAACAUCUCAAAGAUAUGGUCAAACCGCAGGAAGAACACCUCCGCGGGCCGUGUCUCGACGUAGCACUUCCCCUCAGGCACACGAGCCGCGUAUGUCGGAUAUCCUGGAUCCUUUGAGGCUAGUAGGCUUUUCUCAGUCGACAACACAUGGUCGUGCAGUCUCCUGAGAUCCCCUGAUAGUGCCUCCAGCGGUUUCGGCGGUAGCAUCGGCUCGCGCGUGAGAUGGAACAUGACCGCACCUUUCACGGGUACACGCUCUUCAGAAUGCAUCGUCUGGCUGCUAUGUGCUCUGGCUUGUUUGGAGGCAGCUAUCUUCCCCGAUCUCUUCCUCUCCUUUUUCUUGGGCACACCUUCCAGACCCUUCCUUAACCCCUGCCCCAAUGUUCCCGGGCUAAGUACUGUACGACCCUCGCGCCCGGCUAGUUGAGCCUGUGUUGAGGCGGCAUCUUCAGGCGUGUCCUGUGAGGAUUUCACGAAGAGAGACUUUUUGCAAUCCCUGCUACGACCUUCCUGCCUGGGCAUAUCAUCCAUGUCCUCAUUAGCAAGUUGAUAGCCUAAUUCGUCAUAUGGUUGACUCAUCAUAUCUAUGUCACAGUCAUAUGCGUUUGUAUUGAGGAAAUCCAUACGGUCGACCUCCGUCUUAUCAUCCAUUCUCUAUUCUACACGACAAAUUACAUCAGCCAGUACUAUUUCACCCCCUUCAUCAUGUCGUCCGCCGCUCUCACCCGGCACGACAGGAGCUGAUAAUUGCGUAGGCGGGGUGGUGGUCUCCGCACAUGCUUGUUGAUGUGUGGUUAUUGGUGUGCUCUCAGCCGGCUCCAAACGAAUAAGAUUCUUCGGCCAUAGCAGCACCCAACCCUUGCAGCUUCCAAUCCGCGGCGGCGUCUCGUCGUCCGCUCCCACAUGCUGUACUGGAGGAGGCAAAUCCUCGUGCCCCGAUUUCACACUAGUCAAGCUAACCCUGAAGUGCCCAGCGGGGAUCGGCUGGUUGUGGAACGUGGGUUGUGAGGGGUCCAUUAUCAUCCCCUUUCACACGUCCACUUUCUGGCCUUUGAUCAAGUAGAGUAUGGUGCACGGGGUUUCUUUCGCCUGCAAACACAUAUGUCUUUGGCUUAAAACAACCGAAAGGCACAAAAAUGGAAUAUUAUAUAUAUAUAUAUAUAUAUAUAUAUAUAUAUAUAUAUAUAUAUAUAUAUAUGUUGGUGCGACAGGUAAUUACCGUGAUGGCGUCGAGCUCAGCCAAAGACGAAGGCCCACCUAGCGCGCCAGAGACUGAGGACGUGCUGCUAUGAGCGGGAGCGGCUGCGAGAGGAGGCCCGGUUGCGUGAGCAAGUGAUGGUGCGAUGGGGUCGUUGUUCAUGGAGUUUCUCCCGACGAAACUGGGCAAGGGGAAAUCAUGUACCGUCUUGUCUGGAUUUUCCUUCGUCCAGUUGAUGAUAACUGGAACCAAGUUAGUAGCAAAAUCAUUUCUGCAGGCAGUUACAGCUGCAUUGACUGCCUGCUGUAGCAACUCACAUUUGUCCUCGGCUGCUUUUUUCACGUCCUCAGCUGCUUUUUUUCUCGACCGCAAGCUUCACCUUCGCGUCGAUGUCCGCCUAACUAAACUUCUUUUUCUGCUUCUUGGCCUCCGGGCCCUCGUUGUAAAACACCUUCCACGUGGCGCCGUCUCCAGCGCCGUGUACACGACCAUAUUGCGGCCGCUGGCCCAAAGGGAGUCCCUUAAGUUCGUUCAAGGCCCGGUUGAGAGGGGUGUCCCACUUGGGCCUCAUCGGAGAAGCAGGGCUUUCGGCUGCAAGCUGGUUUUGCUUCUCCAGUAGUCUAAUCAAUUUCCUCGUGAUCUUGUCCGUGUAAAAAAACCUUUUUCUCCUUGUCCCACUUGUAGCGGGCCCUGAUGAAGUCACGCUCCAAGGGGUUGGUGAACUUCGCGAAGGGGUCUGGGAGACCCGCGGCUUCACGUUCCGCGUCCUCCUUAUCCCAUAUGGGCCUUUUACCGAGGUAGCCACGGCUUCCGAGGCGAUGCUUCCCCGUGUUCCUUUGCUGAAGGCUCUUGAAUUUUGCAGCCUUAGCCUUGGCUGCCUCGGUAGCGCAAGUGUCCUUGAACUUUUCGAACUCCUCUUCCGUAAGUGUCGGAUUUUCCUCUAGAAUCUUGGACAGGGGUUCAUCAGCCUCAAUAGUUUGUUUCACCCUCCCUUUCCAGGAGGCCAAAUCAUUGCUGAACAUGCCCAUGGCGUGAUUGUUAAUCUUUUUCAUCUUCGGAUCAUCCCACGGUUGUUCUAUGUUAUCAUCCCGGUCGGGGAACUUGAAUCUCUUGUGCAACUUCGUUAGGAGCAACUGCGUCAAAUGUUCUUUACUCCUUAAGUCAUCGUCGUUGAUGCUCACGCAUUCCCGUAGGAUGCAUCCUACUUGGUUCCCAUAGCACUUGCGAGGUUCUUCCGGCUCUAACGGCUCAAACUUGCCAGGUGCCAUCUUUGUGAUCACAAGUCGUCCAAUCCCUAGUUUGUUAGGUUUUCGUAUCCUCUGCUUCUUAUGCUUCCUCUUUUCGGUAGCGGCAUCGGGGCCGGUACUUUCACCGCCGGUACCUUCCCCACCGGUCUCGGCGCCGCCAUCGGUGCCGGCGCCGUCGGUGUCGAUGUCGGCGUCAGUACCAUCAUCGAGGCCGACCUGCAAACCUUUCUUAGCAGUCAAAUAAUUGAGGUACUCUUGUUCACCCUCAUAAUCCAUCUCGUCUGCAUAUUGGUCAGAAGGCCCAGUUUCUUCGUUGUUUGACAUGUUUCCUAUGAUUAAGUGUCCUCAUUUAUUUCUAAAAGUAUGAAUAAAUGAGAAAUGACAUAAAAAAAGAAAUCUAUGUGCCAGCACUCGAUAUGCCAACUAUGUAGCACAAAUCAUGCCUUUAUUCACGGGAAAUUUCGGCAUGACCUUUGCUAAAAAAAUGGACAUUUCGAGCGCCUGAAAUUCACCGGAACGGAAAUGAAUCAACAUUCCGGCGUAACAUAGGCCACUCGGAUCAUUUUCCAAACAUGACAUGUCCAAAACAUGACAUAUCCACAUAUCACAUGUCCAGUUCAAAUUUGCAUAUAAAUUCAGCUAAUUUUGAAACCUAGCUAAAUUCAUAACUAAAUAGAUAACCUAACUAAAACCCAUGUAAAUUAACCGAAGAACGCUAGCAAAGAGAGAGGGGGGGUUUCCAGAGGGUGUAGGGGUGAGGAAGCAGGCCCGACGACGGCCGAGGUUGGGAGGGGAGGAAGCAGAGGAGGGAGGCGAGGGCCGACGGGUCGGGGGCGAGCGCACCGGGGUCGGGGGNNNNNNNNNNGCAUUCCCGUAGGAUGCAUCCUACUUGGUUCCCAUAGCACUUGCGAGGUUCUUCCGGCUCUAACGGCUCAAACUUGCCAGGUGCCAUCUUUGUGAUCACAAGUCGUCCAAUCCCUAGUUUGUUAGGUUUUCGUAUCCUCUGCUUCUUAUGCUUCCUCUUUUCGGUAGCGGCAUCGGGGCCGGUACUUUCCCCGCCGGUACCUUCCCCACCGGUCUCGGCGCCGCCAUCGGUGCCGGCGCCGUCGGUGUCGAUGUCGGCGUCAGUACCAUCAUCGAGGCCGACCUGCAAACCUUUCUUAGCAGUCAAAUAGUCGAGGUACUCUUGUUCACCCUCAUAAUCCAUCUCGUCUGCAUCUUGGUCAGAAGGCCCAGUUUCUUCGUUGUUUGACAUGUUUCCUAUGAUUAAGUGUCCUCAUUUAUUUCUAAAAGUAUGAAUAAAUGAGAAAUGACAUAAAAAAAGAAAUCUAUGUGCCAGCACUCGAUAUGCCAACUAUGUAGCACAAAUCAUGCCUUUAUUCACGGGAAAUUUCGGCAUGACCUUUGCUAAAAAAAUGGACAUUUCGAGCGCCUGAAAUUCACCGGAACGGAAAUGAAUCAACAUUCCGGCGUAACAUAGGCCACUCGGAUCAUUUUCCAAACAUGACAUGUCCAAAACAUGACAUAUCCACAUAUCACAUGUCCAGUUCAAAUUUGCAUAUAAAUUCAGCUAAUUUUGAAACCUAGCUAAAUUCAUAACUAAAUAGAUAACCUAACUAAAACCCAAGUAAAUUAACCGAAGAACGCUAGCAAAGAGAGAGGAGGGGUUUAUAGAGGGUGUAGGGGCGAGGAGGCAGGCCCGACGACAGCCGAGGUUGGGAGGGGAGGAAGCAGAGGAAGGAGGCGAGGGCCGACGGGUCGGGGGCGAGCGCACCGGGGUCGGGGGCGAGCGCCUGGGUCUGGGGCGAGUGCCGGCACCGGGGUCGGGGGCGAGGGCCGAGUCGGGGCCAGCGCCGGGNNNNNNNNNNNCGGGGGCGAGGGCCGAGUCGGGGCGAGCGCCGGGGUCGGGGGCGAGGGCCGGGUCGGGGGCGAGCGCCGGCGCUGGGGUCGGGGGCAAGCGCCGGGGCCAGGUCGGGCGCGGCGGUGCGACGGGGGAAGAGAGAGUGGGGAUUUUGGGGGAAAUGGCGGGAUGAAGCAGGAAGAGUGAGAAUUUUGGGUUAAGUGGACGUAGCAGUAGCGCGUUUGGACAAAGCACGCUGCUACUACCUUCAGUAGCUGUAGCAGUUUAUAUGACAUGCGCUACUACUACCUUCAGUAGUUGUAGCGGUUUAGACAAAACGCGCUGCUACUACCUUCGCUACUGCCAGUUUUCCUUUUCCUUUUCCUUUAUUUUCUCCCACUUUUAUUUCCCGAGAGCAGUGAACGAAGGGAGGGCGAUAUAUAUUGCAUCAUUUGACGGUUAAAUAUGUAUGCAAAAUAGGAAUAUAUAUAUUACAUCAUUGGACCCAUGCAUAAUAAUGACUAAGUAUGUAUACAAAAUAGGAACAUAUAUAUAUAGGACAACACUAUUCUAAUCCCGGGAUUAGAAUAGUUAUUUGGAUCACAACGUCCUAGGGAGCCGCGAAGAUGAUCCCGAACCAGAGCGAGCGAACCGAAGAAGCCCACUGUGAGCGCGAGGAAAAAAAGCCCACCCUGGACCCCUCGUGGCCUCGUCACACACCUCUCGAUCCCCACCCGAGCCACCUCCCGACCGCCGCCGCCGCCCACCGCCUACCUGGCGUUGCCUCGCGGGCCGGGAUCCAGCCACCGACGAGCGGAUCCUUGCUAGCUUGCCGCCGCCACACGCAAGCACCUCACCCCCGAGCCGCCUCCCCACUUUCCCACACGUGGCCGCCGUCCUCCAUUGUUGCUUCACCGACGGCCGGCUGCGCCAGGCCAGCGCCGUCCCCAAUGGCGCAGCGGCCAAGCACCUCCAUUGAACGUGCCGGCGGCUCAGGCCACCCGACACGGCCCCUCCCUCAAACGCACUGCCCCAACCUUCUCUAACGGAGCCGACGGCGACCACCGGAGCUUUCCUGAGGCGUGCCGCAUGCUCCUACUAGCCGGGGCUGGGCGCACCUCGUCUGGAAAGAAGAAACUUCACCGAGCAUGUGAAGUUCGGCCGGUGAACCUGUGCAGUCCGACGGUGCUUGCAUGCUUGUAUCCGGUAGCAUACAUUGCGGAUGUAUCAAAAGGCAAGCACCGAUCUCUUUCGUUACUAAACAAUAGUGUGUGCUAUUUGAUGAAAUGGAUUCACAAUGAAGUGGGCAAAAUUUCUCGUGUUUAAGUUGAGUCAUUGUGGCCUUAAUCAUCUUGUGCGAGUAGAAAAAAUUUGGUUGCUUCACAUGUACCUGUGCGGCUCUGUUGGUGGUUUUCUGCCUGAGGUUGAAGUUGGCAGCCAACCUGGACUACCAGCCCACGCGCGGAUUAGG